rnacentral:rRNA from 1 species
CCUACGGGAGGCAGCAGUAGGGAAUAUUCCGCAAUGGGCGAAAGCUUGAUGCAGCGACGCAGCGUGCGGGAUGAAGGUCUUCGGAUCGUAAAGUGCUGUUAUAAGGGAAGAACAUUUGCUAUAGGAAAUGAUUGCAGACUGACGGUACCUUGUCAGAAAGCACUGGCUAACUAUGUGCCAGCAGCCGCGGUAAUACAUAGGUCGCACGGGUUAUCCGGAAUUAUUGGGCGAAAAGCGUUCGUAGGCGGUUUGUCAAGUCAGGGGGUAAAUCCCGGGUCUAAACCGGGGCGCGCUUUUGAUACUAGCAAACUAGAGUGAGAGAGAGGGUAGUGGAAUUCCAGGUGAAGGGGUGAAAUGCGUAGAUAUAUGGAAGAACACCAGAGGCGAAGGCGACUAACUGGGACUAUACUGACGCUGAGGGGCGAAAGCGUGGGGAGCAAACAGGAUUAGAUACCCGGGUAGUC